GAAACCAAGUUCAUCUUUAUUUAAAGGAUUGACAAUCCCAUUUUAAACAAUUCUUUGAUUUACAAAGAGGGAGGUAGACUCGUUAGCCUCCCAACCUUAGCUUAAAUCGUGAUGUUGCCAGGUUCCUGGUGGUUCAGCUGAAUCCUAGACAGUUUCCCUUCUCUUCAUAAAGCUGAGAAGAAAAAAAAAUUAUCUCCAUCUAGGCCCACGGGAAUUUUGUGCAUAGACAGUUUGAAUUGGUCUGAAAAGUGUGACUAGCUACCUACCUAUUCACAAUGCCUAGAAAAUGGGCUACCAGAUAUGGUAGUGGUCAAAGCCCCGACUUUCCUGUCUGAGGUACUGGGUUUGCUCUAAGGUAGACCUUGGCAAGGCCCCUAAUGGUCCGUCCAGCAGAGUGAUGCUCGUGUCCCUCGGCUGUCAGGUGAGCGUGGGUUUGUGAAUCAGCUUUGGAUAGGAUCAUUUCUCUUGGAUUUACCACUAGGCUCUGUCCCUAACAGGGUCUACCUACCUGACCCCCAAGCUGGCUCAGUCUCAGCGCUAAGGUGUACUAUGGAAGGGUCCGGACAAAGACUAAUAUUUGAGAUCUCUUAGUAGCACAACGUGAAAAUGGUAGGGGAUUUUGUCCUCCAACACCAAAGACACUUGCUUUUUUAAGAACAAGAGGAUGUGUAAUUCACUGAAUAAAAUGGUUUUCCUCCGUCUAGGGGGGAUUCUAGCAUCUGCCCUUCCAUUUUUGUUGAGAGAAGUAUUAGCUGAUCUCUCAAAUGCAGAUGUUAAGAGAGUAACAACUGGGUUGAUCCACCUGUUGCUUUUACACCAUAGCUCCAUUUUCCAAAAAUAUAUAUGUAUGUACAUAUAUAUAUUUCAGAUUUACAGGGAAUUUUUUUGUGAACAAGAAAAAAAAAUUGUCUAUAGAAGUCACAAGUGUCUUUCUUCUCAGGAGACCUCAAUGAUUUCCAUGCUGCCCGAAAAGCUAGACUGACUGCCCACUUUCCCCAGCUCUUCCCGUGACCUGUUCUCUGACAUGAUGCUCUCUCCAAAUUCCAUUUGGCAGCUUCUGCGUUUAAACUGCUUUUCAAAGGGGCUCUCUUCAUGCCAGCUCCGCCGCGAGUCAGCUCUGUCACUUGGCUUCUGCCGCCUGCGCACAGAAUAGACUUGGUCUCCGCAAGUGGGCAGCUGGCUGCAGCUGUAGGCAGAGUAACUGGCACUGCCUCCGUAGAUGGCUGAGGCAGAGUAGAAGUGUGAGGACUCUGUGGCAAAAUACCAGCUGCUGGUCAGGGAAGGGGUAGAGGUCUGGGGGGCCAAGAUAUCCGAGUGCCAGCCCUUAAGGCCCAGGCCAGCAGACUUCGUGAGGUGCUGCUGGCUGGUGGAAAGGCCGAAAAGGAAGCUGGUGUGGUAAUUGUCCUCCACGCUCCCACUUCGAUGCAGUGGAGAUAAAAGGGACCUCUGGGCGGUGCCACUGCUGCUGGUUCUGACCGAAUGCAAUCGCUUGCUCUGGCUGUCUGAAGGCCUGGCGGUCUGCAGCUUCUUGGGGAUGCUGGCUUCCUCCUUAUCAGGACUGGUUUCGGGAGUCUGCUCCGAUAGUUCCUGAACAGGGGAGAACUGGCAUAGCUUGUUGGUCCCAUCCAGAGUAGUGGAAGGUUUGUAGUAUUCCAAAGCAUCUUCUGAUGAGGAGAAGCCAUGUAAGGAUGCUGCCAUGCUGGCUGAAUAUGAAACUGAUUUGAUAUCCAGAGAGAAGGAACGCUUGAGCUUAUUGCUGUCUUCCAGCCUGUCUGCGGGAUGCACGGGCCUUUGUCCUGCUGCCUCUGAGGUAGCAGAGUCGGCACAGGGUGGACUGAGGGGCGUCUCGCUUUUCUGUCCACCCUCUGAGACAGCAGGGACAGGUUCAUUUGGCUUCUCCAGGUGCAGCAGCUUGAG
rnacentral:lncRNA from 10 species